rnacentral:lncRNA from 12 species
CCCCUCCAGGCCCCGCCCCCCGGACUUCCGAACUCGCGACGCCCGCCCCUCAGCACGCCCGGGGGCCGCGCGGGGUCACGUGGCGGAAGUGCGGCCUCCCGCCCGCCGCGGCCGCUCGCUCCCAAACCGGAAGUUUAUGUGGUUGCCUGGGAGACCGGACGGGGCGCCCCGGGCGGCCCCGUGACACGCGCGGCGGAGCCCACGGAGGCCGGGCGAGCGGGCGCCCCGCGGCGGAGGGAGCGGCAGCUGCAGCCCGAGGCGCGGGGACGGUGAGGUUUCUAUAUCCUCAGCUAAAGAUGAAGAAAGAACAGAAGCUGAAAGGAAAAGAAGGGAGAUAAGAGAUAAGUUUCUGUCCUUCCAGAGAAGUUCGAAACAGAUGGAUCCUGGAGGUGUUUUAGAAAGAGACCGCAUUCUUCCCAGGUGAACAAGCUACAUUUGAGGAGGCUCCAAUACACAUUUAUGCUUAAGAUUUAAAUAUACUUCGCAUAUUACUAACUUUCAAAGACAAAUAAGAAACAUGUACUAAAGUAUAAUUUCAGGAUGAGGAAAGUGUUCCUAUUUUUUAUAGAUGAGUUUAGGUCAUGGUAUGACUUUGGUUUUAAUUUUAGGUCUUUGAAACUUGAAUAGCUUACAUACAAGUGUCUUCAUAUAAAUGGAAAAAAUACUGGGAAUAUUCAUGGAGAGCAUGCUUGGAUAAAUACCAAUGAGUGCAAAUUUUUGCCAGAAAGCUUUGGAAAUACAGAAGUUGUUUCUUUUUAUAAGUGCUUUUAACCUUUCAAGACCUAUUAAACCAAUUUGAGCAGUUGUUUCUGUCAGAAAUAUUUUCUGCACGAAUAGAAAGAUACCCCCCCACCACCACCACUUGUACCUGAAACCGCAACUUGAUACCAUGCUCCCUAAGCCUCUGUUGAAAUGUCAAGUCCUACUGCUAACAAAUCCCAAAGUCAGAAAAAUUCUACGUUAAAAUUGCCAGAAUCUUUCAUUCAUUCUAUUUAUUGUUACACUUUAAACAAGUUCAGAAAUUUGGGAGGUUUCUGGCUACUUGAGUAAAACACACUGCAAACCGAAAGAGAACAAACGUUAAGUGGAAGAAACGCCUGACUUCUGAGUUGCUCUGCCCUCCUGCACAGUAGCCUUUCCACAUCACUGAAUCUGAACACAGCGUUACCAUCUGCUCCAAGCAGUUCCCCUGACACUGGAGCAAGUCAGAAUAAGUUAAUCUCAUGUCUUAUUUAACAGCAGGCAAGCAACUUUAACAGAGACUUGAGGCUUAGGCAGAUCUCACAUGGUCUAGAAUCCAGGCUUAGAUUUUGUAAAAAGUUUUCAAACAGAAGAAAU